rnacentral:tRNA from 1 species
UCUUUUUAAAGCUUAAUUAGUAAAGUGUUUCAUUUACAUUGAAAGGAAAUUUGUGCAAUUCAAUUUAAAAAGA